rnacentral:rRNA from 1 species
CUAACACAUGCAAGUCGAGGGCAGCAGGACUGUAGCAAUACAGUUCUGGCGAACGGCAAACCAGUUGCGGGACACGUUCGCAAUCUACCCAACACUGGUGAAUAGCCCUCCGAAAGGAGGAUUAAUACACCGUAACUUAAUGAGGUGGCAUCACUUUAUUAAUAUAGCUCCGGCGGUUUUGGAUGAGCGUGCGCCUGAUUAGGUAGUUGGCGGGGUAACGGCCCACCAAGCCUGCGAUCAGUAACUGGUGUGAGAGCACGACCAGUCACACGGGCACUGAGACACGGGCCCGACUCCUACGGGAGGCAGCAGUAAGGAAUAUUGGUCAAUGGACGCAAGUCUGAACCAGCCAUGCCGCGUGAAGGAUGAAGGUCCUCUGGAUUGUAAACUUCUUUUAUAGGGGACGAACCCGGGUAUUCUUACCCGAUUGACGGUACCCUAGGAAUAAGCACCGGCUAACUCCGUGCCAGCAGCCGCGGUAAUACGGAGGGUGCAAGCGUUAUCCGGAUUCACUGGGUUUAAAGGGUGCGUAGGAGGGCAGGGAAGUCAGUGGUGAAAUCUCCGGGCUUAACUCGGAAACUGCCGUUGAUACUCUCUGUCUUGAAUCCCGUGGAGGUGAGCGGAAUAUGUCAUGUAGCGGUGAAAUGCUUAGAUAUGACAUAGAACACCAAUUGCGAAGGCAGCUCGCUACACGAAGAUUGACUCUGAGGCACGAAAGCGUGGGGAUCAAACAGGAUUAGAUACCCUGGUAGUCCACGCCCUAAACGAUGGAUACUCGACAUACGCGAUACACUGUGUGUGUCUGAGCGAAAGCAUUAAGUAUCCCACCUGGGAAGUACGACCGCAAGGUUGAAACUCAAAGGAAUUGACGG